UGAUUCGAAGAACAAACUAUUUUUAUUUAUUUUUAAAAUAGAUAUAAUUUUUGGGGCAAAUAAAGAAUUAGUUUAAUUUUGUAUUUCGAUAAGAAUCGAGAUAUUUAGAAAAAUAAGAAAAAUUAUAUUUAGAAGAUUGGCCGGAUUGGAAUGGUACGAAUAAGAGUAAUUAUAAUUGAAAAUAAAAAUAAUUUAUCUAAUGAAUAAGCAUCUAAGUAUUAGUAAAAUAAUAUUUUAAUAAGUUAAUAAAUAAAUUAAUUAAAAUUACUAUAUGAGAUGAUGAAGAUGAUGUUAAUAAAUAGUAAAUAACUAUAAAAAAUAAGUCAAUAUGUUAAUACUAAUUAAUUAUUUAAUCAUUUAUAUUUUUAUUUAAUAUAUUAAUUAGAUAAAAUUAAAAUAUUAAUUAUAUAAAUAAUAUAAACAUUAGUUAAUGAUUGAAUAAGCAUAUUAAAUAGCGAACUAUUUAAUUAGAUAAUUAAUUAUAAAUUUAUAAAUAAAUUAUUAUUUAAAUAUUUAUUAAUUUAAUAAGUUAAAUAAUUAAUUAGUUAAUUAUUAAAAAAUAUAAUUGCAUUAAUUAAUUAUAAUUUAUAAUUAUUUAUAACUUACUUAGCAGAGGAAUAAGG
rnacentral:lncRNA from 1 species